rnacentral:tRNA from 1 species
GCCGAAGUAGCUCAGGGGUAGAGCGCCACGCUCAUAACGUGGAGGUCGUGGGUUCGAAACCCACCUCCGGCA